UACGGAAGGCAGCAGUGGGGAAUAUUGCACAAUGGGCGCAAGCCUGAUGCAGCCAUGCCGCGUGUAUGAAGAAGGCCUUCGGGUUGUAAAGUACUUUCAGUCGUGAGGAAGGUGUUAAGGUUAAUAACCUUAGCAAUUGACGUUAGCGACAGAAGAAGCACCGGCUAACUCCGUGCCAGCAGCCGCGGUAAUACGGAGGGUGCGAGCGUUAAUCGGAAUUACUGGGCGUAAAGGGCACGCAGGCGGUUAAUUAAGUUGGAUGUGAAAUCCCCGGGCUUAACCUGGGAAUGGCAUUCAGACUGGUUAGCUAGAGUCUUGUAGAGGGGGUAGAAUUCCAUGUGUAGCGGUGAAAUGCGUAGAGAUGUGGAGGAAUACCGGUGGCGAAGGCGGCCCCUGGGACAAAGGCUGACGCUCAUGUGCGAAAGCGUGGGGAGCAAACAGGGAUUAGAUACC
rnacentral:rRNA from 1 species